rnacentral:rRNA from 1 species
UACGGAGGAUGCGAGCGUUAUCCGGAUUUAUUGGGUUUAAAGGGUGCGUAGGCGGCUUUUUAAGUCAGCGGUGAAAUUUUGCAGCUUAACUGUAACAGUGCCGUUGAUACUGGGGAGCUAGGAUUUGGUUGCUGUGGGUGGAAUGUGUGGUGUAGCGGUGAAAUGCUUAGAUAUCACGAGGAACUCCGAUUGCGCAGGCAGCUUACUAAACUACUACUGACGCUCAGGCACGAAGGCGUGGGGAUCAAACAGGAUUAGAUACCCCUGUA